UGGGGAAUAUUGGACAAUGGGCGCAAGCCUGAUCCAGCAAUGCCGCGUGUGUGAAGAAGGCCUUCGGGUUGUAAAGCACUUUUAUCAGGAGCGAAACGCUGUCGGCUAAUACCCGGCGGAACUGACGGUACCUGAGGAAUAAGCACCGGCUAACUUCGUGCCAGCAGCCGCGGUAAUACGAAGGGUGCAAGCGUUAAUCGGAAUUACUGGGCGUAAAGCGUGCGUAGGCGGUUUCUUAAGUCUGCUGUGAAAUCCCGGGCUCACUGGANGGCAGUGGAUACUGGGAGGCUAGAGUGUGUCAGAGGGCUGGUGGAAUUCCCGGUGUAGCGGUGAAAUGCGUAGAGAUCGGGGAGGAACAUCAGUGGCGAAGGCGCCACUGGGACACACUGACGCUGAGGCACGAAAGCGUGGGGAGCAAACAGGAUUAGAUACCCUGGGUAGUCCACGCCCUAAACGAUGCGAACUGGAGUGUUGGCUCUCAACUCGGAGAUCAGUGUCGAAGCU
rnacentral:rRNA from 1 species